GUAAAUGUUUCAUGUUAAAACUAAUGCCACCAAUUGAUUUUUAACUUUAAACACAAGUAUGUUGUUUUGAAUUUAAUUAACAACAUAAUAUUUCAAUACAACAAAAUGCAGUAAAUUAAAUCCAACGUAAAAAGUUCAUUUCAAAUGAAGAGCACUUUAAUUUAAAGAGGAUUGUCCUAAUAGGCUCUCCGUACUUCUGAGUUUGCACAUGUGCAGUGUGGAAGUUUGAUCAUCCGCCAUUUUCAACUGAGACUUGCAUGUGCUUAGCAUCCUGGAUAGAAUCCAUCGCCAUCUGAGGAUUAUUUGUUUCCAUUGGUUAUCAUCGCUACCGAAGACAGGAAAUCAUCAAAGACAUGCCAUUCAUUGCAGAGGUCAACAACAGUUGGCCUGCCCUGUUUUCAGAGACUGAGGUUGUUGCGGAGUUCACCCGCAUCACCAUGGUCCCUUUGUUGUCGACUUUCAUGGCCAAGCUUGACCACUACGCUGACCACCUUCUUAGAGUGUUCAAAAAGAAGGGGGGGGACAGCUAAACGCAAUAUCAACUUAAUCAUGGCAGCCAUGGAUGGGGUAAAACGCCGAGAGGAGGAAAUGAUGAUGCUGUGUCUCACCGCGGACACACACAUGCGCAAUCCCACUGCUGUUUCUCUAAAUCGCCAACGUACAUGUUUGAUUACACAUGCAAUACAGAUGAUGACUUGAUGCAGACUACCUCAUUUAUUUGACGAAUGUGUGUUACAUGUUUAAUGUUAUUGGUCAUAAAUGUGCUGCAAAAAUGCAUGGAGUGAGGCUAAUGGAGGGCAGUGCUGAACCCUAAAGGCAACAUGUAUAAGAGGUACACGUAUAUGGAUUCACAGUGUAAUCACAUUACACUGAGAGUGCCAUUGACACAGUGGAUAAAGCAGCGCACUUAGGGAACAUCAGUAAAUUUCACA